UUUGUUCCCUCUGUGCAAACACUGAUGUUGUCUCUGAAGUGUAGGAUUUCCUUUGGUACUCUCUACACUUGAUCCUCUUCCAGAAUCCAAGAUACCAUCCAUGAGUUUUUCUCUAUGUUGAUCCACAUCUGGUUCGUUCUUUCUAGCCAGUCACAGGAUCUGCCUGUCUUCUGUGGCACAGAUACUUCCUUCAGCGCUGUAGCUGUUUUGUCUUUCCAUUUCUGUCUGUCUGGGUCUUUCUCUGUCUCCCCUCCCUCCACCCUCUCUUGAGGACUCUCAUGUUCAUUAUUUUCCUCGGGAAGAAUCUGACUGC
rnacentral:lncRNA from 1 species